rnacentral:lncRNA from 1 species
CUGAGUGUACGCUGCGCAGAUUUCUCAAAUGUUUAUUCCGGGCUGAGGAUGAAGCACUUCCUCUAGCAAAACCGCCUGAGAUGGUAUCAAUUUUGCCUUUAACUAUGGGUUCCCGCUCUCUGGGUCAACUGCGGGAUCUGUGACUCGGUGGACUACGAGAACGGUCGCGUGAGUGAUUACCUUUUCGUUUUACAUGUUCCGGGCUUCUUCGUGUCUUUCUGGGAGAGUGUCCCGCGCGGCCGGAAUCUUCCUUUACAAAUUCUCGAAGAUGGCCGGCACGGAUUAGCUUCUCUAAUUCAUCCUUGAGAGUUUGGCAAUCUUCAGUAGUAUGUCCCCCC